ACAACAACAUUGGGACCGUCGGUCUACCGAGCAAUAUCACCCGCUCGGUGGAAGAUCUUCCUUUCGUCGUUCAGC
rnacentral:pre_miRNA from 1 species